rnacentral:ribozyme from 1 species
AAUGAUAUAUGUUUUUGUAUUUUGUUUUAUUUUUUUUUCAAUUUUUUUUUUCAAAACGGAGCACAUUCCUGAUUUGAAAGUGCAACGUAUGCUGCUGCACUUUCAAA